rnacentral:rRNA from 1 species
UACGUAGGGCGCAAGCGUUGUCCGGAAUUAUUGGGCGUAAAGAGCUCGUAGGCGGUUUGUCGCGUCUGCUGUGAAAACCUAAGGCUCAACCUUGGGCUUGCAGUGGGUACGGGCAGACUAGAGUGCGGGUAGGGGUGACUGGAAUUCCUGGUGUAGCGGUGGAAUGCGCAGAUAUCAGGAGGAACACCGAUGGCGAAGGCAGGUCACUGG